UACAGAGGUCCCGAGCGUUGUUCGGAUUCACUGGGCGUAAAGGGUGCGUAGGUGGCUGGGAAAGUUUGAUGUGAAAGCCUCAGGGCUUAACCCUGAAAUGGCAUUGAAUACUGCCUGGCUGGAGGUUUGGAGGGGGACUGGAAUUCUUGGUGUAGCAGUGAAUGCGUAGAUAUCGAAGCGGAACACCAGUGGCGAAGGCGAGUCCCUGGACAACUCCUGACACUGAGGCACGAAAGCUAGGGGAGCAAACAGG
rnacentral:rRNA from 1 species